AGUCGGCGACGAUGAAUUGAAGGCUGGUUUCUCAAAACAUUCACAGUGGCCGCCUGAGAACUUUCGCCUUCGCCUGGCUUGAGAGUUUGUGCUGCUUUAUUCCUUCCUUGGAUAUGGAUAUCUAAGACA
rnacentral:snoRNA from 1 species